UACGUAGGGUGCAAGCGUUGUCCGGAAUUAUUGGGCGUAAAGAGCUCGUAGGCGGUCUGUCGCGUCGGCUGUGAAAUCCCGAGGCUCAACCUCGGGUCUGCAGUCGAUACGGGCAAACUAGAGUAUUGCAGGGGAGACUGGAAUUCCUGGUGUAGCGGUGAAAUGCGCAGAUAUCAGGAGGAACACCGAUGGCGAAGGCGGGUCUCUGGGCCGAUACUGACGCUGAGGAGCGAAAGCGUGGGGAGCGAACAGG
rnacentral:rRNA from 1 species